rnacentral:rRNA from 1 species
AAUGUAACGGGGCUCAAGCACAUCGCCGAAGUUGUGGCAUUCACACCGAUAACCCGGCCGUAAGGUCCAGGUGUGUGGAUGGGUAGGGGAGCGUCGUGUGGCGAGCGAAGCGGCGGGGAGACCCAGCCGUGGACGCCACACGAGUGAGAAUGCAGGCAUGAGUAGCGAAAGACGGGUGAGAAACCCGUCCGCCGGAUGACCAAGGGUUCCAGGGCCAGGCUAAUCCGCCCUGGGUAAGUCGGGACCUAAGACGAGGCCGACAGGCGUAGUCGAUGGACAACGGGUUGAUAUUCCCGUACCGGUUUACGCGCGACCAUGACGAGCCCAGUGAUGCUAAGCCCACAAAGUCGAGGAACUCUUCGGAGGGAAUUGGUGGAGUGCGCGAACCGAACUGGUAGUAGUCAAGCAAUGGGGUGACGCAGGAAGGUAGCUCAACCGCGGCGAUGGUAGACCGCGGCCAAGGUUGUAGGGCGAGAUGUAGGCAAAUCCGCAUCUCAUAUGCCUGAGAACUGAGGGGGAGCCGACUUAGGCGAAGUGAGUGAUCCUAUGCUGCCGAGAAAAGCCUCUAGCGAGUGUGUAAGCCGCCCGUACCCCAAACCGACACAGGUGGUCAGGUAGAGAAUACCGAGGCGAUCGAGUGAACUGUGGUUAAGGAACUCGGCAAAUUGCCCCCGUAACUUCGGGAGAAGGGGGGCCGCGGCUGGUGAUGGGACUUGCUCCCUGAGCUGGCUACGGCCGCAGAGACCAGGUGGAAGCGACUGUUUACUAAAAACACAGGUCCAUGCAAAGUCGCAAGACGACGUAUAUGGACUGACGCCUGCCCGGUGCUGGAACGUUAAGGGGACCAGUUAGUUCUUCGGAGCAAAGCUGAGAACUUAAGCGCCAGUAAACGGCGGUGGUAACUAUAACCAUCCUAAGGUAGCGAAAUUCCUUGUCGGGUAAGUUCCGACCUGCACGAAUGGCGUAACGACUUCCACGCUGUCUCAACCGCAGACUCGGCGAAAUUGCACUACGAGUAAAGAUGCUCGUUACGCGUGGCAGGACGGAAAGACCCCGGGACCUUUACUACAGCUUGGUAUUGGUGGUCGGUUCGAUUUGUGUAGCAUAGGUGGGAGACUUGGAAGCCCGGACGCCAGUUCGGGUGGAGUCAUCGUUGAAAUACCACUCUGAUCGUAUUGGCUGUCUAACCUCGAUCCGUGAUCCGGAUUAGGGACAGUGCCUGGUGGGUAGUUUAACUGGGGCGGUUGCCUCCCAAAGAGUAACGGAGGCGCUCAAAGGUUCCCUCAGCCUGGUUGGCAAUCAGGUGUCGAGUGUAAGUGCACAAGGGAGCUUGACUGUGAGACUGACAGGUCGAGCAGGGACGAAAGUCGGAACUAGUGAUCCGGCGCCGGCAUGUGGAAGCGGCGUCGCUCAACGGAUAAAAGGU